UACGGAGGAGGCAAGCGUUAUCCGGAAUUAUUGGGCGUAAAGCGUCCGUAGGUGGUUGACCAAGUCUGCUGUCAAAGGGUGGAGCUUAACCUCAUAAAGGCAGUGGACACUGGUGAGCUAGAGUGCGGUAGGGGAAAGGGGAAUUCCCAGUGUAGCGGUGAAAUGCGUAGAGAUUGGGAAGAACAUCGGUGGCGAAAGCGCCUUGCUGGGCCUGCACUGACACUGAGUGACGAAAGCUCGGGGAGCGAAAGCG
rnacentral:rRNA from 1 species